GUACCAAGGAGGAGGUAACCUGAAGGAGGAAUGAAGAUGUAUACGGUGGUGGGGCCGCUCGCUGGCCACUUGGCUACCACCAAAUAAGCUUAGACCUCUUCGCAAAGGCAAAAAGGUGUCUCCCAAGGGAUGGACUGGAUGAGCAUAUUCAUAUACACAUGGUAAUUUUUCUUUUGAAUCAAUGUCAUCCUUUGAAGUA